rnacentral:lncRNA from 1 species
ACUGCCUCUCCAUUUUCAGAGUCUAAUGCUCAUGACUAUAUUCAUUUAUCAUUCAAGAAAUAUUUGCUAAAUGUGUACUAUGUUCAAGGCACUAAAAUGGGCACAAACAGUACUAAGAGGCAGUUCUGGAUUUCUGGCGCUCACCUCUGAAGAUCAUCACAGGCGAAGAGUUUUGAAUAAGACAAUUCAGUCAGUCAGUUACUUUGGAAAUAUUUCUAGAAUACUGUCAUGUACCAGACAGCAUGCUUGGUUCUGAGAAUAUGAAAUGAUCUAAAACAAAGAACAUGUCUCUGUCCUCACAGAACUUAUAUUCUGAAAACUAUGCAAAUUAACAUGCCUUACACUCAAGAUGGUAAAGGCUAUGAAGAAAAAUCAAAUUGAGCAAGGAGUCUGAGCACAAGGGUGAGGGACUGAGGGGAGAACUUGGUAUUUUGAAUGAGCCAAUCAGUAAAGCUUCUCUGAGAACUGGAGGAGAAACCUGAAUAAGAAGUGACUUAUGUGAUCAUCUGUGUGAAGCAUACGUGUGGCUAGGCAGAAGCAACAGCCAGCGCAAAGACUCCAAGGCAGGAACAUACAUAGAGUCUGCCAAGAAUGGCAAUAGGCCAGAUCACAGUGAGAGAGACUGAGAGCAAUCAGAGAUGGGUGGAAAGUCAAGGGAUGACCAUCCAGCAUCUUGAAUAGGAGGUGACAGCCUCUGAUUAACUUUUUAAUCUCACUCUGGCUGCCAUGUAGAGAAUCGAUUAUGGGGAUACCUGAGCAGAAACAGGAAGAUGAGUUAGAAGACUAUUAUACAUGUGUACAUUUGAGAUGAUGCAGAGUUAAACUAAAGUGGAAACAGCAGAGGUUAUCAGAUUGGGGAUGUAUUUUUCAUGGUAGUGGUGACAGACUAGAUGUUGUCUGUGAGGAAAAAAAGAAGAGUGAUUGCAUUAAAUUCCUGGAAUGGUGCCUGGAACAGAGUUUAUACUCAAUAUGUGGAAAUUCUGUCCCCUUCCUUCAGAACCAACACAAUUUACCAGGAGGAAACAAGUCAUGUGCAUAACUCAUUACACACUAGUCUGUUAGAGGAACACCACCUGAGUCUAACCUCGGGGCCACAACUCAACCAUGGGCAAGUAGAUGAUAUUCAGCCUCAAUUGCUUUGAUCAAACCAGAGGACCUUGGACUUCAAAUAACCUGGAUUUGUCCCAGAUUGCAAGUGUUUUCAGACAUCCUCAGAAGGAGAGGUUUGGAGCAUUUCUUGGGCUCAACUCCUAGAAAUAGACCAUAAACUCCAAGAGGGAAAGGACUUAAAAUACAGGAACUCAAAUACUAUCUACUAAAUGAAUGAAUGAAUGAAUGAAUGAAUGGAGUUCCCUUUCAUCAUCACAGCCAAAGCCCUUAUUCAAUAGAACAAAAUAGGUUCCAACACAAGGCAGACAUGGAUCUUGGCUUCAAAGGAUUUAUGGAUUAAAGAAGAUAAACCAUGGGCUUAAGUAACUGUAAUUCCAAAAAGAAAUAUAUAGGUGGCAUAAGACAUGGACAGCUAAACUGUGAUGGGAAUUCAAGCGAUGCCUGAUCUUGGCUGUACAACUGUUAUCUCAUCUAAAUCCUACAGCUGUGUCACUUCCUAACGACCACCAUCCCUGCAAGACAGCUGUUGCUCUUAAUUGGCAGGAAUAAAACAUAUGAGCAUUAAAAAACUAGCCUGGAUGAUGAGCUACACAAAAAAAUCCAUUUACAUUUUUUUCCAAACUAUUUGAAGCAAGAAAAGGCAGGGCAGAAGGCUUCAUCAGAAAGACAUGGAGUUCCUUGGUCUCACACCCAGAAUUUUGCAACUGAAAUUGCAUAGAACCAAGCUGCCUCUUGGCCAGUCCAAAGGAGAGUCCCAC